AAUGUUUUUGUUCAUGGUGUAAUAAUUGAUAAUUUUGGUUCAUGUGAAGUAGGGAAUGGUGUUGUUGCACGAAAUAAAGGAAUGGAGGUUGAAGAGCGUCAGAUACAGAGGCUUUGUUUCACGGGUGGAGAAUAUUG
rnacentral:tRNA from 1 species